rnacentral:piRNA from 1 species
UACUGAGCUGAAAUGUGCCG